rnacentral:lncRNA from 1 species
AGAUGAGGAGGAGACAGGGGAGCACACUGGGCUAAAGGCACUACCUGCCUCGCAGGGACCUUCGUGGGCCACGGUGAGGUUGGCAUCGGGGUGGGCACGGGCAGACUCGAGGAAGCGGCAGAUCUGUGGGUAGGUGCGCCCGUCGGAGCCGCACAGCGCCUGGUGCGAGAUGCAGGCACACUGGGGCUCGGGCACCUCGCCACGCUGCAGGUCUCCAGCCUCCAGCUGGCACUCCAGGUGCUCCCCGCAUUUGCCAUAGAAGUGGUUGGUGUUGUCCAGGUCGCAGAUCUGUCCCUCCAGGUUGGCACAUUCCCAGCAGCAGUCACAGGCGUCCCGCACCGUGCCGGCCAGGCAGCCGCGCGGCACCGGGCACUCCUCCGGCCGGCACUCGGCACAGCCCUCGCCCUCCUCCAGCAGUCGCUGCCAGCCCCGCUGCAGGUACUCGGCGCUGCUGGGGAAAGCUCGGCCCGGCUGGAGGCAAGCCCAGGGCAGGGUGAGCAGGUAAAGCAGCAGGCAGGAGGAGCUCAGCACCACAGGCAUCCUCGUGGCCGUUCCCAGAGCCCGGUUCCAGCAUCACUCGGAUGGAGAUUUGGAUGGGUCAGAGCCAAGCGGCCAUCGUGAUCUGCGAGGAGGAGAACGUGUAUU